rnacentral:lncRNA from 1 species
AUGCCCUUCCGAGUCUGUGCCCACAUCCCCUCCAUAGUGGCAGGAGUAGUAUAUUCGCAGCUCAUCCAGGGGGGCUGCUGUGUGCAGCCCCCAUCAGUGUGCACUCCUACCCCAUACACACACACACACACACACAGGCACUCCCUGGGCUCAGUAACAUGUACACAGGUACAUGUGGACACACGCCCAUGUGUGCAGUGCACAAGUGGACAAGCCCAUCCGUGUGUGUUGUGCCCUCUCUGGAUGCUGGGGAUGUUAUGUUCUCUUAAAUGCCCUGUGACACUGACCCAGCCAUUUGCCCGCAAAAGCGGGGACCCAGGCAGGGUUGGUCCCUGGGAGGCUGAGGGGGCCCCUCGGCAGAGAUCCAGGGUAGGUUCGGCAACAGCCACAGUCCCCAGUGCCAGACCGGCCCACUGUCCUACAGCCGCCACACCUGACACCCGCCAUAGACACCCAGUGUCUGCCCAGCCUAGAGACCAGGCAGAUCCAAAGACGCGAGAUCUUGGUGGCUUUUCAGCAGAGGAAACAGACCAGGACUCCUGGGGCCGUGGUGUAGCCUGCCAGGCCGGCCAGGGCAAGGCCACCCCUGCGGGGGUGUGUUUGGCUUUGCGGAAUCCUACCUUCUCAGCAUCCUGGGACUGGGCCCGACUCACUAAGGGAAUCUGCUGUCCUGGGCCCGGUGGUCCUCUCAGCCUACAGCCUGUCCAGAAAGCUGGGCCUCGUGGCCUGCAGGAGACUGGGUCAAGGGGCUCACAUAGGUCCCUUGGAUCUUUGUUUUGUGACCCCGCCAGCCCUGGUUGGCCUUUGACCGAUCGAUGCUUCCCAAACUGGCCCUGCAGCCCCUGGCCCCACCUGCCACAAGGGAGGCCCUGCUGGGCGUGGAGGCCUGGCUGCCUUUCUAGCCGGUCACACUGGGGAAUCCCCCCUGCUGGCCUCCACCCAGAAUGCCCGGCACGCCUCCUGGCACUCAUCCACUUUCCUGGGCCCUCUUCCAGCAGACCGCAGGCUUUGGCAGCGGGAGGAUGGGUGCCUGGGGGGCCCAGCCCCUUCCCACGGCUCUUCUGGCCCCCAGCAGGGGGAUGGGGUGGCAGAGACCAAUUCCGUUUAACAUGGAAAUAA